UGGAGGCAGCAGUAAGGAAUCUUCCGCAAUGGACGAAAGUCUGACGGAGCAACGCCGCGUGAGUGAUGAAGGUUUUCGGAUCGUAAAACUCUGUUGUUAGGGAAGAACAAGUAUCGGAGUAACUGCCGGUACCUUGACGGUACCUAACCAGAAAGCCACGGCUAACUACGUGCCAGCAGCCGCGGUAAUACGUAGGUGGCAAGCGUUGUCCGGAAUUAUUGGGCGUAAAGCGCGCGCAGGUGGUUCCUUAAGUCUGAUGUGAAGGCCCCCGGCUCAACCGGGGAGGGUCAUUGGAAACUGGGGAACUUGAGUGCAGAAGAGGAAAGUGGAAUUCCACGUGUAGCGGUGAAAUGCGUAGAGAUGUGGAGGAACACCAGUGGCGAAGGCGACUUUCUGGUCUGUAACUGACACUGAGGCGCGAAAGCGUGGGGAGCGAACAGGAUUAGAUACCCUGGUAGG
rnacentral:rRNA from 1 species